rnacentral:rRNA from 1 species
UGCCAGCAGCCGCGGUAAUACGAAGGGCCCGAGCGUUGCGCGGAAUCACUGGGCUUAAAGCGUACGCAGGCGGGCAUGCAGGCGUUUUGUGAAAUCCCUCGGCUCAACCGAGGAACUGCUUGACGAACCGCAUGCCUUGAGGCAGGUAGGGGCCAUCGGAACGAUAGGUGGAGUGGUGAAAUGCGUUGAUAUCUAUCGGAACGCCGAAGGAGAAAUCAGGUGGCUGGGCCUGUCCUGACGCUCAUGUACGAAAGCGUGGGGAGCGAACGGGAUUAGAUA